GAUGAACGCUGGCGGCGUGCCUAAUACAUGCAAGUCGAGCGAACGGACGAGAAUCUUGCUUCUCUGAUGUUAGCGGCGGACGGGUGAGUAACACGAGGAUAACCUACCUAUAAGACUGGGAUAACUUCGGGAAACCGUAGCUAAUACCGGAUAAUAUUUUGAACCGCAUGGUUCAAAAGUGAAAGACGGUCUUGCUGUCACUUAUAGAUGGAUCCGCGCUGCAUUAGCUAGUUGGUAAGGUAACGGCUUACCAAGGCAACGAUGCAUAGCCGACCUGAGAGGGUGAUCGGCCACACUGGAACUGAGACACGGUCCAGACUCCUACGGGAGGCAGCAGUAGGGAAUCUUCCGCAAUGGGCGAAAGCCUGGCGGAGCAACGCCGCGUGAGUGAUGAAGGUCUUCGGAUCGUAAAACUCUGUUAUUAGGGAAGAACAUAUGUGUAAGUAACUGUGCACAUCUUGACGGUACCUAAUCAGAAAGCCACGGCUAACUACGUG
rnacentral:rRNA from 1 species